GACGAACCGUGCGAACGUUGUUCGGAAUCACUGGGCUUAAAGGGCGCGUAGGCGGGCCUCCAAGUCCGGGGUGAAAUCCUCCAGCCUAACUGGAGAAGCGCCUCGGAGACUGGGGGCCUCGAGGGAGGUAGGGCAAGCGGAACUAUGGGUGGAGCGGUGAAAUGCAUUGAUAUCCAUAGGAACUCCGGUGGCGAAGGCGGCUUGCUGGACCUCUUCUGACGCUGAGGCGCGAAAGCCAGGGGAGCAAACGGG
rnacentral:rRNA from 1 species